rnacentral:rRNA from 1 species
CCCUUAGAUGUUCUGGGCCGCACGCGCGCUACACUGACGAAGUCAGCGAGCAUGUCCUACGCCGACAGGUGCGGGGAAUCUUGUCAAACUUCGUCGUGAUGGGGAUUGAUUAUUGAAAUUCUUGAUCAUCAACGAGGAAUUCCUAGUAAGCGCAAGUCAGCAGCUUGCGUUGAUUACGUCCCUGCCCUUUGUACACACCGCCCGUCGCUACUACCGAUUGAAUGGUUUAGUGAUGGCCUCGGAUUGGUCUCGGCCCGCUCUUUACCGGGCGGCGCCGUUGGUCGAGAAGACGCUCGAACUUGAUCGUUUAGAGGAAGUAAAAGUCGUAACA